rnacentral:rRNA from 1 species
AUUGAACGCUGGCGGCAGGCCUAACACAUGCCAGUCGAGCGGAGCGGCGGACGGGUGAGUAAUGCCUAGGAAUCUGCCUGGUAGUGGGGGAUCACGUCCGGAAACGGGCGCUAAUACCGCAUACUAUCAGAUGAGCCUAGGUCGGAUUAGCUAGUUGGUGGGGUAAAGGCCUACCAAGGCGGCGAUCCUUAAAUGGUCUGAGAGGAUGAUCAGGCACCCGAGAACGGAGACACAGUCAAGAGUCCUACGAGAGGCCGCAGUGUGGAAUGGUGGACAAUGGGCGAAAGCCUGAUCCAACCCGUCCGCGGGUGUUAAGGCGGUCUUCGGAGUGUAAAGCACGUUAAGUUGGGAGGCGUUACCAACAGAAUAAGCACCGGCUAACUUCGUGCCAGCAGCCGCGGUAAUUC